UCAGUGCAAAUGUGAGCUCUGACUCAGAAGAACCAACCCUUGCAAUGGGAAGACAGGAGGUGUCCAUGCAGUGCAGUGUGAUGCUGCACAAAAUCCCUGAGCCAGCUCUGGACUGAAGCAAACAGUCUUCAUACCUUAAGUCUUAUGUAGAUUGCUAUCUGUGCAAAAGAGUACAAAGGGCAACCACAUUGAAAUGUGCCACAUCUUUGAAUGAAGAGCCAGGCAAUGGUGAGUCUGUUGAACUGUUCGGCAAUUGGUACUUGUCCACCUGAAUUCCAUGUAGGACCCUCUCGGAGAAACUGCACCAUUGACCCAUCAAAGGCAGAGGGAAAAGAGAAGCUGGAGGGACACCUAUUGACUGAAGAUGCGAUAAAAUUGCUCCCAUCAGCACGGAGGAGGGGAGUUAUUGGAGGAAAGUGUUCGGUGGAUGGGUGCAGAUGCAGAAAUAGAACCAAGUUCAUCUUGCUGUUGCAGAGAGCCCAGCAAAUAAAUGCCAACCAAAUGGGAGCCUGGAGCAGAGCUGGCAGAAGAAUAAUUCCAUUUCGUGGCACCUGAAUUUACUUCUAUCCAGACUGGAAGAAAGCAGAAUUUCUGGACAAAGUUUUGAGGAUGAAAACAGUGAGUUUGAAUAGUGAUUGAGAGCUGUAACAUGCAAAGUAAUAUCUGUGCUUUAUCUCAUUCAUAACAGCUUGUUUUAUUUCUUUUUCUCAGAUCAUUCCAAGUCAGGUAAAGCACAAAUUUCACAGACCAGUGUUUUUGUCAUUCAGUGCAGACUCUAUUUCUUUGUAAAAAAAUAUUCUUCUUUAAUGAAGCAGCAAGUAAGAAACAGCUCCAUUUGGAAGACUGAUAGAUGCUUUCCCAGGAUUGAGCCCCACCACAUGACAUUUCUUUUUGCCAAGCCAGCUCAAUGUUUGUAUUUCAGGGAUUGUGGACAAAAAUUGUCACAAGUUAAAUCCAAUUGUAUUAAAAACAAAACAAACAAAAAACAUAAAAAACAAAUCUAGUUUAAAUUGCAUUUCAAAUACAAAUUUAAUGUCGAUAGCUACUAUAUUAAAAUAACGUGCUGAAAACAAUCAAUAAAGCAAUGUAUUUUUGCCACAUAAGUGUAAGAUGAAAUUGCUGAAACUGUGGGAAUCUCUUCACGGAAUGACUGGGCCCAGAGUUUGCUAAAUUGAUAAAAUAGCUUUUUUAUAGCUCUAACUUCUCAAAGAUUGGUUUGUGCAUGUUACUGUAUUUAUUUCAGGGUAGUUUGCUCCAAAGAGUAAUUAAGUAAUAAUAAAAUGCCUGAAAGUUGAAAAAGCAGGAAUACUUGUUUGAUUCUUUGACCCUGUGCUUA